CUGCAGUAGUAAUUAGCUAUAUCCAGAGUAAAAGAAAGAAGAGUAAGGAUAUAAACUUUCCAGCAUACGUGAAGGUUCCAAGGUCAUAAAGGGCCUGGCUGGUGCGGGAAGACCAGUGUGGCUAGAGAAUUGUGAGCAAGAGUUGCAUAAAGUAUAGCCUGGGCUCUCUGGCCACAGGUUAUUUAAUCAGGGAGUCAGCUGAAUCAAACUGAGUCAAUUGAGCUGUGUUUUCACUACUUGGAGUUAGUGAUAUAGAGAAUUUAGCCAGUUUGUUUUGGGUUCUGAAGAUAUAAGUUCAUGUAGAAAUUGAAGUUCCUGUAAAGUUAGGAAAAGAGGCAGCAUCCUGGGCACCAGAGCCCUGUGUAAACCUUUGUUAAGAGGAACGGAAUCUAAGAUAUAUCUGCGGAGAGAACUGGAAGUGGAACAAACUUGGAGAAAAGAGCAGCCAAGAGAUAAGAGACUGAGGUAUGAAGAGAUGAAGUAAUUUAUCCCAAAUGAGACAGCUGCUGCGCUGACAUGCUCUUGAAUUCAAUAUCUCCAAUCACAAUCUUCUGAUUCUCCUCCUUCCUGACUGCACAAGAUAGAAGUACUCCAUGUGGAGUUACAUGAGAACCUUCCUGUAAAAUCAAUCUGAGAGUGGUGGAAUCAUUGAAUUGGUGGCGAGCAGAUGCUGAUCGGGAGGCAGGACCAGGCAUCACCAUCAUGAGUGAGUUGUUGGAGGAAGUAAAUACACACCCAUAAGAGACCCAUAGAAGAGCAGGACCAUGGUGAGGAUCUCAAGUUAUACUCACAGCAACCUUAGGAUGAAGGAACUGUUAUUAUUCUCAUUUUACUGAUGAGAAAACUGAGGAUAAUGACCUGAUGAAGGUCAUACAACUACUAAAUGGAGCUGAUGGGAUUCCAACCUAGGUGUGCAUGACUCUAGAGUCCAUGCUCUUAACCACCAUACAUUGUCCAAGUAUAUUUGAUGGUUUUAAUCAUUAACAAUUUCAUAGGUGCAAAAUAAUCUAAUUGUUCUAACUUGCAUGUCUUUGCUUACUGGUAAGAUUGAAUAUUUUUUUCAGCUGAUUUUUAACCAUGGAAAUUAUUUCUCAAAUUAUCCUGUUGAUAUAUUU
rnacentral:lncRNA from 1 species